UUUGUAUUUGUUUAGACAUUGGCUGGUGUUGUCUCUGCAAGUUUCUCACGUGGACCUAGAACAACUUUUGGCUAAGGGCAGAGCCCAUGUUAUUCCUGACAGCCUGUCCUAAUCAUGGAAUUUAAAUGUCAGGUUCUUUAAAACAGUGUACUUCAAACACUCUCACGUUGUUUUCUUUUCUCAAGUAAGCUUUAUUGUACUUUUCUUCAAAAGUGACAACUCUCAUUAGAGAAAGCUCAGAAAACAUAAGUCCCUUUUCCAUGGCCUUCUGACCAUGAGUAGAAGAUAGUGUGGAUGAGCUUCUGAGUCUGGGUUGCCUCCCUGACCCUCACCAUCACCCUCGAUGGCAGUUAUUUGUCAGUGGCCUUGAUAAGGGACGCUCUAGGUGAUCUGCACAGCUGGAGAUCCCUGUGCCAAGCCCUCAAAGCAGCCCCGACUUUCCGUGCAAUAAAGCAGCAGUGAGAAAGGCUCAGAGUAAUUAAGUGGCUGACGCACAGAAGAAGCCGUUACAAAGAAUUGACUAAAUUGCCCAUUCAUUAGCAGCUCGGCAUGGAAGGAGAAUUACAAAUAGACGGCGGAGCCCGCAGUAAUUCAAUCUAACCUUGUACUUACAG
rnacentral:lncRNA from 10 species